rnacentral:lncRNA from 1 species
GAAUAUUGAAAGGAUCAUAGACUCUUUUAUUAAUGAAAUCUGGUAAAUUUACAAAAUUCAAACAUACAAUUCUAGAAUUACAAUACCAUUUAAGAAAUUUGAGUCAAAAGCACUUCUUACAUGACCAAUCUACUUGCACAAAUCUAAUUGGGAAACCAAACUAUAAAAGAUAAUAUUUAUUAAUCUUCCAUCGAGGGGCCCAUUGUUGUUUUCUUCUUCAUCAAUUACGAUACCUUCUCAUGCUUUGGUAUAUUAAGGUGGACCAUCAUUCCUACAAAACUUUAAAUAAUUUAUGAAUGUCAGUCCACGUAAACAAAUUGGAAAAAGGUAUAAAGGCAGAUAAAAUCGGUAUAUGAGAACAACUUACUUGAGCAUGCAUAAGAUGACGCUUUGCUUAAUUUCUGACACUCUGAAUCUAAUUCCCACACCAAAGCCAAGCUACAUGGUCAUGCUGAUUUGAUGAGUCAGUUUUCUACAUGGCUUCAUCAUUCGAAAAUAAUACUUGCCAACCACCAGCUUCAUGUUUACCUAAGUACCUGCAAAGUGAGGAUGGACGAAGUCAUAUCUGACCACUUCACUCAAAAUAGACAUUGUUGCAAAGUAAAUACUAAAAGGAACUGCUUGCAUAUACCCUGACCGACAAAAAAGAACAAAAUUAGAAGGCCUUUAUGAUUAUAGACACAGAGAGCAUCUACAUAUACUAAUAUGAAUGAUCAUAACUGAAUUCGACUCUUAUUAAAAUCAUACAAGAGCACCUACUGCCGGGAGCAACUGGCAGAUACAGUUAAACAAGAAACCACAGUUGUGCCAAUUUUUUCUUCUUUACUGCAGCUAUAAAGUGCAGAAAUAAUAUGUUGGGAAUAACGACGGCAUGCAUGUCAUUAUAUUCUAGUUCUACAGACAACAAUCACCUAGUAUAAUAGGAUUAGAACUUGUAACCGAGUAGGUAAGCUUCUGUUAGUCCUAACUACUCCCUCCGUCUCAAAAUAACUGUCUCAACUUUAUACCAGCUCUAGUACAAAUUUGUACUAAAUUUAAGACACUUAUUUUCGGACGGAGUGAUAUAAUAUAUACGCAUGCGCAAUAUUUGUAAACAUUAAAUACGAGUAGAAAUAAAGAAACUCAAUACAAGCUAAUUGCAAACUUGCAAUACACCCAGUUUUUUGUGUGUACGUGUGUACUAGUACGUUACCAGCCGUGAGGAUCAAUCAAAGCAAAGAUCGAUCAGGAGCUGUGUACAUGCGUGUUGCUUCAGCCUAGAAUGAAUUAUCUUGAUGCUAGCUUUGUACAGUGAGCUGCUUCGGCCAGUCUGGGGCAGGAAUUAAAAUGGUUGUUUUCUUUUACCAAUUCAUCUGCAUAUGCACAAUCAAUUUCAUGACCAAAUAAAUAGAAUCUAUUGACUAUUAUACAGCUAGCCUACACCCUAGAGAAUGUAAAGUUAACUUGUCAUGAGUAUCUUAUAGACUAAUUUGGUCAUAACUGACACUUCGCGCAUUGGCAUCACUGUCUGCAGGAAACAAAUACCUUCUUCUCUGAACUUAAAGUUCAAAAUGAACUUAAUACAAUUUUCCAGUCCAGCGAAAAUUGUGACUGUCAAACGGAUUUUGCUGCCAUGGUAUUCAAACCUGUUGAAAUUAAAGGAACCAAAUCAGCACCAGUUGAUUCAAGAACAACCACACCUAUGCAGAAUCAUCUUCUCUAUACAAAACAACUUAAGCGACUGGCAUAUUCCUAAAAUACCUUAAUUGGAGAAAGAUCAUAAAAUAAAAACAUGUCAGGAAGAGCUUGUACUACAAUUCUGUUCUUCCACACAAAUCUGCAGCAAGGAAUAUAAAACAUCAUCUUCAGGGUCGGGCCUUCCUUGUUGAUGCAUCUCUAUCUCGUCACGCAGAUCCUACUCCCACGCAAAGAAUACUCGGCCCCUGCACCCGCCGCUUAUCCAUCUUUCUCACCCGUAUCCCUUACACCAUCUGGAAUUCCGAUCUAGGGUUAGCCAGUACCUCUCCUUUUCGGCAUGUUCCUCCCGAUGGACGUGGAUGAGAAUGAUAUGGAUGUGUUGUAUCUCGGAAGCAAGGUGGACGAGGCGCAUAACCGAAGGUUGAGGUGAUGCUCGUGGCGGCAGAUCGCGUGGAAGACGAGAGAUGAGAGAGAGAGAAAGGCAGCAUGCCAUGUGGGAGAUGAAACGAGAGAGGGUCAGAUCGAUUACGAAGGUGAGGAUAUUAAAGGAGAGGUGAUUGGGUCAAUAACGACCAUACCCACGGGCUCUUCUAGGCAGAGUAUUCGGUGCUUGUUUC